rnacentral:rRNA from 1 species
AGCGAACGCUAGCGGCGGGCUUAACACAUGCAAGUCGAGCGCUUCUCUUCGGAGAAGAGCGGCGAACGGGUGAGUAACACGUAGGUUACCUGCCCCCGGGUGAGGGACAACCGAGGGAAACUUCGGCUAAUACCACAUAUGGACUACGGUUCAAAGGCUUCGGCCGCCUGGGGAUGGGCCUGCGUCCCAUUAUUUAGUCCUAGUUGGUGGGGUAAUGGCCUACCAAGGGUACGAUGGGUAGCUGGUCUGAGAGGAUGAUCAGCCACACUGGGACUGAGACACGGCCCAGACUCCUACGGGAGGCAGCAGUGGGGAAUAUUGCGCAAUGGGCGAAAGCCUGACGCAGCCACGCCGCGUGAGUGAUGAAGGCCCGAGGGUCGUAAAGCUCUGUCGGGAGGGAAGAAGUUCUGACGGUACCUCCCAAGAAAGCACCGGCUAACUCCGUG